rnacentral:rRNA from 1 species
UGGGGAAUAUUGCACAAUGGAGGGAACUCUGAUGCAGCGACGCCGCGUGAACGAAGAAGGCUUUCGAGUCGUAAAGUUCUUUUAUAUGGGAAGAUAAUGACGGUACCAUAAGAAGAAGCCCCGGCUAACUACGUGCCAGCAGCCGCGGUAAUACGUAGGGGGCUAGCGUUGUCCGGAAUCACUGGGCGUAAAGGGUUCGCAGGCGGAAAUGCAAGUCAGGUGUAAAAGGCAGUAGCUUAACUACUGUAAACAUUUGAAACUGCAUAUCUUGAGAAGAGUAGAGGUAAGUGGAAUGUUUAGUGUAGCGGUGAAAUGCGUAGAUAUUAAAAAGAAUACCGGUGGCGAAGGCGACUUACUGGGCUCAUUCUGACGCUGAGGAACGAAAGCGUGGGUAGCAAACAGG